AAUAGAUACCCUGGUAGUCCAUGCCGUAAACGUUGGGCACUAGGUGUGGGGCUCAUUCCACGAGUUCCGUGCCGCAGCAAACGCAUUAAGUGCCCCGCCUGGGGAGUACGGCCGCAAGGCUAAAACUCAAAGGAAUUGACGGGGGCCCGCACAAGCGGCGGAGCAUGCGGAUUAAUUCGAUGCAACGCGAAGAACCUUACCAAGGCUUGACAGUGCACGGGAAGCCACCAGAGAUGGUGGUCUCUUUGGACACUCGUGCACAGGUGGUGCAUGGUUGUCGUCAGCUCGUGUCGUGAGAUGUUGGGUUAAGUCCCGCAACGAGCGCAACCCUCGUCCCAUGUUGCCAGCGGGUUAUGCCGGGGACUCAUGGGAGACUGCCGGGGUCAACUCGGAGGAAGGUGGGGAUGACGUCAAAUCAUCAUGCCCCUUAUGUCUUGGGCUUCACGCAUGCUACAAUGGCCGGUACAAAGGGCUGCGAUGCCGUAAGGUGGAGCGAAUCCCAAAAAGCCGGUCUCAGUUCGGAGUU
rnacentral:rRNA from 1 species